rnacentral:rRNA from 1 species
AUACGGGGGGUGCAAGCGUUAUUCGGAAUCGCUGGGCGUAAAGGACGCGUAGGCGGGUUGGCAAGUCAGAUGUGAAAUCCUACAGCUUAACUGUAGAACUGCAUUUGAAACUGCUAACCUAGAGUAUGGGAGGGGGAGAUGGAAUUAGUGGUGUAGGGGUAAAAUCCGUAGAUAUCACUAGGAAUACCGAAAGCGAAGGCGAUCUCCUGGAACAUAACUGACGCUAAGGCGUGAAAGCGUGGGGAGCAAACAGGAUUAGAUACCCUAGUAGUCCC